rnacentral:lncRNA from 1 species
UCCAAGUCUUCUGUGUGUGCACACUUGUACAGUAUUUGUAUGCAUUGUCGAUGUAUAACUGUAUAUGUGCAGAUAUGUAUUAUACAGAGGUGUUAUUUUUUUGUUGUGUUUUGGGUUUUGUUUAUUUUUUUUUCCAAGAUCAAGUUUCUCUGUAUGGUUUUGGCUAUUCUGGAAUUCACUCUGUAGACUGGGAUGGCCUCAAAUUCAGAAAUCUGUUUGUUUUUGCCCCUUGAGUACUAGGAUUAAAGAUGUGCACCACCAUACCAGGCUGAAUUAAGUUCCUUAUCAGAAAUUGAGCAAUCUAUUUCUAGUGGGGAAAGAGAGAGAAAAGACAGAAUAUGGAUCCCAAACUGGGUUGGGCAGUGCAUGCCUUUAAUCCAGCAUUUGGGAGGCAGAGGCAAAUGGUUCUCUGUGAGUUCCAGGCCAGCCUAGUCUACAUAUCAAGUUCCAGGACAGCCAGAACUAUAUAGUAGGGAGUUCCUGUC